rnacentral:rRNA from 1 species
GCGGAGGAAAAGAAAMCAACGGGGUAUGCCUUAGUAGCGGCGAGUGAAGCGGCAAAAGCUCAAAUUUGAAAUCUGGCACUUUCAGUGUCCGAGUUGUAAUUUGAAGAAGGUAUCUUUGGGUCUGGCUCUUGUCUAUGUUUCUUGGAACAGAACGUCACAGAGGGUGAGAAUCCCGUGCGAUGAGAUGUCCCAGACCUAUGUAAAGUUCCUUCGAAGAGUCGAGUUGUUUGGGAAUGCAGCUCUAAGUGGGUGGUAAAUUCCAUCUAAAGCUAAAUAUUGGCGAGAGACCGAUAGCGAACAAGUACAGUGAUGGAAAGAUGAAAAGAACUUUGAAAAGAGAGUGAAAAAGUACGUGAAAUUGUUGAAAGGGAAGGGCUUGAGAUCAGACUUGGUAUUUUGUAUGUUACUCUCUCGGGGGUGGCCUCUACAGUUUACCGGGCCAGCAUCAGUUUGAGCGGUAGGAUAAGUGCAAAGAAAUGUGGCACUGCUUCGGUAGUGUGUUAUAGUCUUUGUCGAUACUGCCAGCUUAGACUGAGGACUGCGGCUUCGGCCUAGGAUGUUGGCAUAAUGAUCUUAAGUCGCCCGUCUU